AGUGAACGCUGGCGGUAGGCCUAACACAUGCAAGUCGAACGGCAGCACAGUAAGAGCUUGCUCUUACGGGUGGCGAGUGGCGGACGGGUGAGGAAUACAUCGGAAUCUACUUUUUCGUGGGGGAUAACGUAGGGAAACUUACGCUAAUACCGCAUACGACCUACGGGUGAAAGCAGGGGAUCUUCGGACCUUGUGCGAUUGAAUGAGCCGAUCUCGGAUUAGCUAGUUGGCGGGGUAAAGGCCCACCAAGGCGACGAUCCGUAGCUGGUCUGAGAGGAUGAUCAGCCACACUGGAACUGAGACACGGUCCAGACUCCUACGGGAGGCAGCAGUGGGGAAUAUUGGACAAUGGGCGCAAGCCUGAUCCAGCCAUGCCGCGUGGGUGAAGAAGGCCUUCGGGUUGUGAAGCCCUUUUGUUGGGAAAGAAAAGCAGCAGGUUAAUACCCCGCUGUUCUGACGGUACCCAAAGAAUAAGCACCGGCUAACUUCGUG
rnacentral:rRNA from 1 species